UACAGAGGCCUCGAGCGUUAGGCGGAAUCACUGGGCUUAAAGCGUGUGUAGGUGGAUGCCUAAGUGCCUUGUGAAAUCCCAUGGCUUAACCAUGGAAUUGCUUGGCAUACUGGGUGUCUUGAACCACUCAGGGGCUACUGGAACAAACGGUGGAGCGGUGAAAUGCGUAGAUAUCGUUUGGAACGCCAAUGGUGAAAACAGGUAGCUGGGGGUGUGCUGACACUGAGACACGAAAGCCAGGGGAGCAAACGGG
rnacentral:rRNA from 1 species